ensembl:snRNA U6 U6 spliceosomal RNA
GUGCUCGCUUCGGCAGCGCAUGUACUAAAAUUGGAACGAUACAGAAAAGAUUAGCAUGGUCCUUGCGCAAGGAUGACACGAAAAUUCGUGAAACAUUCCAUAUUAAA